AGAAUCAACGCUGGCGGCGUGCCUAACACAUGCAAGUCGCACGAGAAAGUGGAGCAAUCCACGAGUAAAGUGGCGCACGGGUGAGUAACACGUGAAUAAUCUACCUCCGAGUGGGGAAUAACUGAGAGAAAUCUUAGCUAAUACCGCAUAAUACCCACGGGUCAAAGCAGCAAUGCGCUUGGAGAGGAGGUCGCGGUCGAUUAGUUAGUUGGCGGGGUAAUGGCCCACCAAGACGAUGAUCGAUA
rnacentral:rRNA from 1 species